UACAGAGGGUGCGAACGUUGUUCGGAAUCACUGGGCAUAAAGCGCACGUAGGCGGCACCGCAAGUGUGGGGUGAAAUCCCACGGCUUACCCGUGGAACUGCCUGGCAGACUGCGGUGCUAGAGGUUGGUAGGGGAGAGCGGAACUCUUGGUGGAGCGGUGAAAUGCGUAGAUAUCUGGAGGAACACCGGUGGCGAAGGCGGCAUCCUGGACCACGGACUGACGCUGAGUGAGCGAAAGCCAGGGAGCAAACGGG
rnacentral:rRNA from 1 species